UACAGAGGGGGCAAGCGUUGUUCGGAAUUACUGGGCGUAAAGGGCGCGUAGGCGGCCUACUAAGUCGGACGUGAAAUCCCUCGGCUCAACCGGGGAACUGCGUCCGAUACUGGUGGGCUUGAAUCCGGGAGAGGGAUGUGGGAAUUCCAGGUGUAGCGGUGAAAUGCGUAGAUAUCUGGAGGAACACCGGUGGCGAAGGCGGCAUCCUG
rnacentral:rRNA from 1 species